rnacentral:rRNA from 1 species
AUACGGAUGGUGCGAGCGUUGUUCGGAAUUACUGGGCGUAAAGGGCGCGUAGGCGGCGAUGUAAGUCAAAUGUGAAAGUCCUCGGCUUAACCGGGGAAGUGCAUCUGAAACUGCAUUGCUUGAGUAUGGGAGAGGAAAGUGGAAUUCCCGGUGUAGAGGUGAAAUUCGUAGAGAUCGGGAGGAAUACCGGUGGCGAAGGCGACUUUCUGGACCAAUACUGACGCUGCGGCGCGAAAGCGUGGGGAGCAAACAGGAUUAGAAACCCUAGUAGUCC